CCUACGGGCGGCAGCAGUGAGGAAUAUUGGUCAAUGGGCUUACGCCUGAACCAGCCAAGUCGCGUGAGGGAAGACUGCCCUAUGGGUUGUAAACCUCUUUUGUCAGGGAGCAAUUGGCGCUACGUGUAGCGUUAUCGAGAGUACCUGAAGAAAAAGCAUCGGCUAACUCCGUGCCAGCAGCCGCGGUAAUACGGAGGAUGCGAGCGUUAUCCGGAUUUAUUGGGUUUAAAGGGUGCGUAGGCGGAAUGCCAAGUCAGCGGGAAAAUCGCGGGGCUCAACCUCGCUCCGCCGUUGAAACUGGCGUUCUUGAGUGGGCGAGAAGUAUGCGGAAGGCGUGGUGUAGCGGUGAAAUGCAUAGAUAUCACGCAGAACUCCGAUUGCGAAGGCAGCAUACCGGCGCCCAACUGACGCUGAAGCACGAAAGCGUGGGUAUCGAACAGGAUUAGAUACCCUAGUAGUC
rnacentral:rRNA from 1 species